rnacentral:rRNA from 1 species
CCUACGGGGGGCAGCAGUGAGGAAUAUUGGUCAAUGGUCGGGAGACUGAACCAGCCAAGCCGCGUGAGGGAUGAAGGUACAGAGUAUCGUAAACCUCUUUUGUCAGGGAACAAAGGCGGGGACGCGUCCCCGGAUGAGUGUACCUGAAGAAAAAGCAUCGGCUAACUCCGUGCCAGCAGCCGCGGUAAUACGGAGGAUGCGAGCGUUAUCCGGAUUUAUUGGGUUUAAAGGGUGCGCAGGCGGAGGCACAAGUCAGCGGUAAAAUCGCGGGGCUCAACCCCGCUCCGCCGUUGAAACUAUGUCCC